AUCACCUACGGGGCGCAGCAGUGAGGAAUAUUGGUCAAUGGACGAGAGUCUGAACCAGCCAAGUAGCGUGAAGGAUGACUGCCCUAUGGGUUGUAAACUUCUUUUAUAUGGGAAUAAAGUGAGCCACGUGUGGCUUUUUGUAUGUACCAUACGAAUAAGGAUCGGCUAACUCCGUGCCAGCAGCCGCGGUAAUACGGAGGAUCCGAGCGUUAUCCGGAUUUAUUGGGUUUAAAGGGAGCGUAGGCGGAUUAUUAAGUCAGUUGUGAAAGUUGGCGGCCAACCCUUAA
rnacentral:rRNA from 1 species